rnacentral:rRNA from 1 species
GAUGAACGCUGGCGGCGUGCCUAAUACAUGCAAGUCGAACGCACGAAGUUGAAGAGCUUGCUCUUUAACCAAGUGAGUGGCGGACGGGUGAGUAACACGUGGGUAACCUGCCCAUUAGAGGGGGAUAACAUUCGGAAACGAAUGCUAAUACCGCAUAGUUUCAGGAAUCGCAUGAUUCUUGAAGGAAAGGUGGCUUCGGCUACCACUAAUGGAUGGACCCGCGGCGUAUUAGCUAGUUGGUGAGGUAAUGGCUCACCAAGGCAAUGAUACGUAGCCGACCUGAGAGGGUGAUCGGCCACACUGGGACUGAGACACGGCCCAGACUCCUACGGGAGGCAGCAGUAGGGAAUCUUCCGCAAUGGACGAAAGUCUGACGGAGCAACGCCGCGUGAGUGAAGAAGGUUUUCGGAUCGUAAAACUCUGUUGUUAAAGAAGAACAAGGAUGAGAGUAACUGCUCAUCCCCUGACGGUAUUUAACCAGAAAGCCACGGCUAACUACGUGCCAGCAGCCGCGGUAAUACGUAGGUGGCAAGCGUUGUCCGGAUUUAUUGGGCGUAAAGCGAGCGCAGGCGGUUCUUUAAGUCUGAUGUGAAAGCCCCCGGCUCAACCGGGGAGGGUCAUUGGAAACUGGAGAACUUGAGUGCAGAAGAGGAGAGUGGAAUUCCACGUGUAGCGGUGAAAUGCGUAGAUAUGUGGAGGAACACCAGUGGCGAAGGCGACUCUCUGGUCUGUAACUGACGCUGAGGCUCGAAAGCGUGGGGAGCAAACAGG